rnacentral:rRNA from 1 species
UACGUAGGGUGCAAGCGUUGUCCGGAAUUAUUGGGCGUAAAGAGCUCGUAGGCGGUUUGUUGCGUCGGCUGUGAAAUCCCGAGGCUCAACCUCGGGUCUGCAGUCGAUACGAGCAAACUAGAGUGUUGCAGGGGAGACUGGAAUUCCUGGUGUAGCGGUGAAAUGCGCAGAUAUCAGGAGGAACACCGGUGGCGAAGGCGGGACUCUGGGCCGUUACUGACGCUGAGGAGCGAAAGCGUGGGGAGCAAACAGG